rnacentral:lncRNA from 1 species
UUUUUAUUCAAUUAAAAAAUGCAGUCUUCAAUAGUGGCGUGAAUAUAUUUAGCCUUCAUUUAAUUUGAAUCAAAAAAAUUUAAAAUUUAAAGUAGAAAUAAGAGUGAAAUGUUUCAAAAAUCAGUGAACUUAUGCAUUGGUCAUGGACUGUUGGCUGAACUAUAAAAUGCUCACUGAACUUGUCUCGUUUGCACUCCAUCUCCCACUCCCCAAAACGUGUUAAUUUUCUUCUUGGCGUAGAUGAUGGUAAUCUCGCAUGGCGACAAAUGGCGUGCCACAUCACCGAUUAAUCCUAGUCACAAUUAAUAAUUAUUACAAACCUUAAAAAAUGACAUUUAAUAUCUGAAACUGUGUUCUUCAUAUGGAUUAUUCGCAUCAUGACCAACAACUUUUAGCAUUAUUCCACUAAGACAUCCAUGCAAAUGGCAACCAUCAACUCCAAUAACCUUUCUACAACCAUUGACAAAACCUUUCUUGCAUGCUUCAAAAUAAACAUAGAUGCCUUGCAAAACUUGAUUGUGGUUGGCAAUGAUAAAGGUCAAACCCGGAAUAAUCCUUAAAACUUCCGUAGCAUAACACCACAACUUACAAAACAACUCAUCAAUUGUAAAACAUGAUUGUAAAACCUUUCUUGCAUGCUUCAAAAUAAACAUAGAUGCCUUGUAAAACUUGAUUGUGGUUGGCAAUGAUAAAGGUCAAACCCGUAUUAAUCCUUAAAACUUCCGUAGCAUAACACCACAACUUACAAAACACCUCAUCAAUUGUCUCAUGUAAUAAUUUCUUUGUAUAUUUUCUCAUUUUCCAUGCCAAAAUUCUGGGUAAUAUCAGUUUUCAUAUCAUCAUUCACUAUCGCAAGUAUACUCUUAGUCUUCCAUUUGGGUCUGUCUUAAACUACUCAAUAUAAUCGUCAGUCAGAAAGACAAAAUUCCAAUGUCUGUUGUAUUGGUCUCGACUGCAUGUGUGAAUCAAAGUAUAUGACUUAACUUGUAGACUUUAUGUUAGACCUACAUUGGAUGCCCAUAUCCUCCAAUUACAACAUAGUUUGCACUUCAAUAUACUCGUCUCUCAUUGUUAGCCUUAAAUAUGACAUUAUACCCAUUCAAAGCUUCAUAAGUUCUUAUUGCCUUUCGAAACUCGACAAUAUCCAUAAAGAGCUAAUUAACAAUAAAUUGUUGAUUACUCAUGUCAACCUCCGCCCAGGAUUGUGGAAAUUGAUACCCAACAUCGUCAUCGAAUGGACAACUAGACAUAGGCUCUUCAGAGGAAGAGUACUCCAAAUCAACAAUCUUAGCAUCAACUUCAACAUCAUGCUCAUUCACAUCAUUCGAUUCACCCACGUUUGAACCAACCUCAAUCCCAUCCGUCAUGUUGCAUUCAUACAGAUUAUCAUCCCCUCCGAAGUCCAACUCUUUCUAGAAUUUGUGAAGUCUAGGUCCUCGCUAGAGGAAUUUUCAGUCCCAACUGUAGCGUUUCCAUUACUCCCUGAAUCAUUGAAUUUCGGGACUACAAUGUAAUCUAUGUUAAAAAGGUUAUUAAGUCAGACAACGAGUUGGAAAACUUACGCCACAAACUAUAAAUAAAUUUCAAAAAUCAGGAAUCCAUGCGGCCAAAAAAGAAAAAAAAGUAUUAUUAUACUUGUAGCCCAUAAUUAGAAAACAGAGAACGAUCACAUGAAUCCAACACAAAAAGAUGCCUUUUUACAAUCGACAUCAAGUGCGAAAAC